CCUUCCAUAUGCCUCUAGGAUCACGGAGUGCGUGACUGAUCUUGAAUCCAUGCCCGAAAUGUCCAAUCGAUAUGAAGCACCGCCCUGUAUUGACCAUCUAGAGAGUCGUUCAUUUUCUUACCCCAGAAGGAACCCCAGGGCGAAGGCGGCCCUUUUGCUUGUCGUUGGGAGGGAGGUCUCAGAUCAUAUGACCUGUCAUUCGUACCCCUAUCAGAUGUCGUUCGAGUAAAUAGUCAACAGUAUUGACUCUUGAGUGUUCAUGACUUGAUUCUAUCCUUUUCUUUUUCAUGGAUACCUUGCUCGUCUUCUCCCUCCAAAUUUAAAACAAUACCCAAACAGCACCAAAUCAUCCCUUCUUUCCCUUCUAUUAUUCCCCAAAUCGUCCUUUUCCUGUUCCCAAAAUCAGAUUCCUUAAGAAGAAUCAAAAUAAAACCUCCUAAUCUCCCGCUCACAGCCCAAAAAACCCCGCAAUGAUCGAUCCUCACUCAUUCACUGAUUCAACUCACCCCCUAACCACCCACGUAUCCCUCACUCUCUACUUCCGCUUCCCUUCCUCCAUCAUCCACGCCACUGCUCUCCUCACCCUCCAAACCCCAUACACUGGCCCGCUCUCUCUCGACACUCGCUCCCUCACCAUCCACAAAAUCCUCGACCCUGCAACUCCAGCUCCCCUCCCUUUCACUCUCUCCUCUUCUGAACAUCCCAUCAAAGGGCGACUCCUUACCGUUUAUCUGGACAACAACUCCUCAGUUCUCAUCCUUUACUCCACCCCCCCUUCCUCUUCGGCCCUCCAAUGGCUCUCUCCGCCCCAAACUUUCAACAAAACUCACCCUUUUGUCUACACCCAAUGCCAGUCUGUUCACGCGCGCUCCGUUUUUCCUUGCCAGGAUACGCCUGCCGCGCGUGUUCGUUACUCUGCAAAGUUGAAUCUUCCGCGGGAGCUUUCUGCUGUUAUGUCUGCUAGGCAUUGUGACCGUCAUGACCCUGUUGGUACUGAUUUGGAUGGGGUGUUGACGAAUGAGGAUUCUGGAUUUGGAUUUGAUUUGAAGUCGUUGUGGUGCGAGGAAGGGAGGGUUGUGGAGGAGUUUGUAAUGGAACAGCCAAUUCCGCCGUACUUGUUUGCGUUUGCUGUUGGGGAAUUGGGGUUUAGAGAGGUGGGGCCGAGGACUAGGGUUUAUUCGGAGGCAGUUGAUGGGGUUUUGGAUGCAGCUGCAAGGGAGUUUGCAGGAACUGAAGAGAUGAUUAGGCAAGCGGAGAGGUUGUUUGGUGAGUAUGAUUGGGAGAGGUUUGAUUUAUUGGUUUUGCCACCGAGUUUUCCAUAUGGUGGAAUGGAGAAUCCAAGGAUGGUGUUUUUGACUCCUACAGUGAUUAAAGGGGAUGCGAGUGGCGCGCGGAUUGUGGCGCAUGAGUUGGCUCAUAGUUGGACUGGGAAUUUGAUUACUAACAAGAAUAAUGAGCAUUUUUGGUUGAAUGAGGGUUUCACAACAUAUGCGGAGAGGAGAAUUGUUGAGGUCGUGCAAGGCGAAGAUAUAGCUGCUCUGAAUAUUGGAAUUGGUUGGAGAGGUUUGAAUGAGGAAAUGGAGAGGUUCAAGGACAACAUGGAGUUCACUAAGCUAAAAAACAAUCAGGAAGGAGUGGACCCAGAUGACAUGUACUCUCGAGUGCCAUAUGAGAAAGGUUUCCAGUUUCUGUGGCGCAUUGAACAUCAGAUUGGAAGACCUGCUUUUGACGAGUUCCUCAAGAAAUAUAUCGCCACGUUCAAGUUCAAGUCAAUUGACACAGAGACAUUUCUUGAUUUCCUGAAAGCCAAUGUUCACGGAAUAGAGAAAGAUAUUGACCUUCAGCUAUGGACUGAGGGCACUGGCAUCCCUCCAGAUGCUCAUGAACCGGUUUCAAACUUGUAUAUAAAGAUUACAUCACUUGCAAAGGAUUUUAAGCUUGGGAGGAUGCCGAGAGAGGAUGAAGUUGCUAACUGGAAAGGGCAGGAAUGGGAGCUGUACCUCAAGAACCUGCCCAGAGCUGUUGAAGCCUCACAGGUGUUAGCCUUGGAUGCACGCUAUAGGCUGUCAGAAUCCAAGGACUAUGAGGUGAAAGUGGCAUUUCUCCAACUGGCUAUCUCCUCCAGGUGUAGGGAUUACUAUGGUGAGGUGGAGAAAACAUUGAAGGAAGUUGGGAGGAUGAAGUACCUCCGCCCACUCUACAGUGGUCUUGUUCAAGGCCCUGGAAACGAAGAAGAGAAAAUCUUGGCCAAAAGAGUGUUUGCUGAAGCUCGUGAAUGUUACCACCCUAUAGCUCAAGGUAUUGUUGAGGCAAUCUUUGCCAAGCACGUGUAGGAUGGCGAGACACCACCAUAUAGUAUCUGGACCUAAACCUUUAAUGUCUUGGAGACCAAUAAUAUGAUAAAUAUCUUCCUGUAUUUUGACACUUCACUCCUCGGUAAUUCUGCUGAUUUUGCAUGACUAUCCUAUUU